UGCUUGUGUCUGAGCUGGGGAAGGUGAAGGAGAGAGGGACUCGCAAGCAGGCCCCAGCUGGCAGCACGGAGCGCAGCGUGGGACUCGAUCUCACAACCAUAAAAUCACGACCUGAGCCAAAGUCCAGAGUCAGCCAUUUAACCGCUGGAGCCCCAAGUAGUCUACCUGUUCAAGCAGCAAGGAAUUCCAACUGGUCUUCAAGGUAACUCAGUAAAGGCUUACGAAAGCCAAUCCAUACAGUAAGUGUUACUAGAAUAAUACAGAACUUUAAAUUUCAUUUUUGGAAAGUAUGCGCGGCAGUGGCUUCCCAGCGCUUACAGAGAGAUGGAGAAGUGCAGCGUUCCCGCAGAGGAUUGGAACACAGCAGGUCAGAGUGUCAGGUAGCAGUGAUGUCACAAAGGGGCAGGAGGCAGGCAGCCCCACAAUUACCCCAGCCACCGGAUGAGGGGCUACUGUCAUCACUCUGCCCUCACGUGAGCUGGGGUCCAGGGAGAAAGCCACGCUGGGAACGGUUUUGUACCUUCUUCUGGACGCUGCACGUCUUUAAAUCAGAGAAUGUGCACGUCCGCUGUCUCCACCUGUGUGCUGACCAUCAGCUCAUCUUCGCGCACCACGGCCCGCGGGGCAGAUGCCUCUCUCUGCUGUGGGACUGUUACCCAAUCGGAGCCAAAACUCAGCUCUGGCUCUAGCUGCAUCCUGAGUGACUGAGUCCUGUGAAGCUCAAUCAUAGCAGAAUGUCCUUCGCAGCCUUCUUCCAGGGAGUCUGCUUUGCUUAGCUUUCUUGGAGAAAGCUUAGCCUACCUCGUCACAGGGGGUGAAUAGUUCUUAUGAUUCAGAGGCACUGAGGAUGGACAGAUGCAAGCAAGUAACUUCUAUUACUUCUAUCAAGUGGAACCCCCCGGAGUCGCCUACUGGACCACUCCUGACCUAUAAAAAUAAAGUCAUCUGGUUUAACCUAA